rnacentral:rRNA from 1 species
GACGAACGCUGGCGGCGUGCUUAACACAUGCAAGUCGAACGGUAAGGCCCUUCGGGGUACACGAGUGGCGAACGGGUGAGAAACACGUGGGUGAUCUGCCCUGCACUUCGGGAUAAGCCUGGGAAACUGGGUCUAAUACCGGAUAGGACUCCGGACUGCAUGGUCUGGGGUGGAAAGCGUUUGCGGUGUGGGAUGGGCCCGCGGCCUAUCAGCUUGUUGGUGGGGUGAUGGCCUGCCAAGGCGACGACGGGUAGCCGGCCUGGGAGGGUGCCCGGCCACACUGGGACUGAGAUACGGCCCAGGCUCCUACGGGAGGCAGCAGGGGGGAAUAUUGCACAAUGGGCGCAAGGCUGAUGCAGCGACGCCGCGUGAGGGAUGGCGGCCUUCGGGUUGUAAACCUCUUUCAGCAUCGACGAAGCGAAAGUGACGGUAGGUGCAGAAGAAGGACCGGCCAACUACGUGCCAGCCGCCGCAGUAA